rnacentral:rRNA from 1 species
AUAAAAAACCAACGCCCUUCGGGGCUUCUUGGUGAUUCAUGAUAACUUUACGGAUCGCAUGGCCUUGCGCCGGCGACGGUUCAUUCAAAUUUCUGCCCUAUCAACUUUCGAUGGUAAGGUAUUGGCUUACCAUGGUUUCAACGGGUAACGGGGAAUUAGGGUUCGAUUCCGGAGAGGGAGCCUGAGAAACGGCUACCACAUCCAAGGAAGGCAGCAGGCGCGCAAAUUACCCAAUCCCGACACGGGGAGGUAGUGACAAUAAAUACUGAUACAGGGCUCUUUUGGGUCUUGUAAUUGGAAUGAGUACAAUUUAAACCUCUUAACGAGGAACAAUUGGAGGGCAAGUCUGGUGCCAGCAGCCGCGGUAAUUCCAGCUCCAAUAGCGUAUAUUAAAGUUGUUGCAGUUAAAAAGCUCGUAGUUGAAACUUGGGUCUGGCUGGCAGGUCCGCCUCACCGCGUGUACUUGUCCGGCCGGGCCUUCCUUCUGGAGAACCUCAUGCCCUUCACUGGGCGUGU